rnacentral:rRNA from 1 species
UACAGAGGGGGCAAGCGUUAUUCGGAAUUAUUGGGCGUAAAGAGCUCGUAGGCGGUCUGUUGCGUCGGCUGUGAAAACCCGGGGCUCAACUCCGGGCCUGCAGCCGAUACGGGCAGACUAGAGUUCGGUAGGGGAGACUGGAAUUCCUGGUGUAGCGGUGAAAUGCGCAGAUAUCAGGAGGAACACCGGUGGCGAAGGCGGGACUCUGGGCCGAUACUGACGCUGAGGAGCGAAAGCGUGGGGAGCAAACAGG